GAAACUCAAAUGGAAUUUGAAGUCUCCGAUGCUAUUCAAGUUCCAUCAAAUUCAAUGCAAGAUUCGAUCUUGACAAUUCCUUUAUUGCCACUAGAACUCAUCACUUAAAUUCUGUUGAGGCUUCCAGUGAAAUCCCUCUUGAAAUUCAGGUCUGUUUCACAAUCUUGACUUGCUUUAAUCUCUAAUCAUGUAUUUAUCAAGACUCAUCUUAGUUUAUCUGCUAAUAACAAGAAUACGGAAGACACCCACCAUGUACUUUUUUUGGAUAUUGGUGGAAAGAAAUGGAAUUACAAAGAAUGUCCUCUUAAAUCUUUAUUUUAUGACGCUGUUACCGUGGCUCUUGAAUUGGAUUUUUCCAUUGAAAACGACAUGUAUUGGCUCUAUGUUAAGGGUUCUUGCAAUGGAUUGGUUUAUCUUGCCCAUGAUAGUUUAGAAUAUUCCCUUUUAUGGAAUCCAACAACUAGAAAGCACAAGAAUUUGCCACUUUUUAGACCUAGAUUGAAAAAAUAGGAACGCGCAUAUGGUUUUGGAUAUGAUGAGCUCCAUGAUGAUUAUAAGGUAGUGAUUAUUUCUUAUAAUUAUAUUGUUCGCGAUUCAGAUGACAUUGAGGUCAAAGUAUAUAGUCUAAAGAGUGAUUCUUGGACUAGUGUUGAUUAUUGUGAUGAGACAUUCUCUAACAAAAAAAGUGUUGGUUAUUGUGGGGAUAGAUUAAUUUUUUGAAGGCUCUUUUGUGGAUGGAAAAUUUCAUUGGGGUACUUCUAUUUCUGAUCCUGAUCCUAAUGUGCGUAAAGGUAGGAACAUUAUUGCUUUUGAUUUAGCUAAUGAGAAAUGGGAAAAGGUGGAGAAGCCCUCCUAUGGAGAAGGAGAGACUGAAUUGCUUGUGGGAAAGUUAGGAAGUCAUCUUUCUGUCUUCUGUGAUUAUAAGACAACUCAUUUAGGUGCUUGGGUUAUGAAGGAGUAUGGAGUGAAAGAAAGUUGGAUAAAGAUGUUUACCAUCAGGUAUCCAAAUGAUCCAGAAUGGUAUCCAAGCUUUUUCAUGUCAAAUAAAGGUGAAAUAUUGUCGGUGUUUAGAGCAACUUCCAUGAUAUACAAUUUAAAUGAUGACUCAUUCAGAUAUUCAGAUGUUACUAACUGUCAUGACGGUUGAUAUGCACAAUUCUACCUUGAAAGCCUAGCUUGCCCUUUUUCAACCCAAGGGACAGAGGACGCCAAAAAGCUGCUCGUAUCAAAACAAUCGAGUGACAAAUAACUUGUAAGAGUACUUUCUUCUCAAGUGCUUUCAAAUUCUGUUUGUUAUUUCAAAUAUUAAACAAGACACACAUGUGAAGGAUCUCUUUAAACUAUAUUGCUUCUGGAUUAGUUUUGGUUGUCUCCUUGCUGCUAAUCGUUAGAUGUAUAUUUUCUUCCAGACGAAUUACUUGUCAUUCCAUUUUGGUCAUUUCUUUCCCUUUGACAGUACCACUAACACAAGCAACACUGCAAUGCAAGGAUAAAGAACUUAGGAGGCUCAUUUUAUCUGCUUUGAUCAUGAGGGUAGGGUGGGGAUACCAAAGAAAAAGAAUAUAAGAGAAAGAGAGUUCGGAAUGAACUUCGUUUGAGAGGGUCCUAUCUAUUCUAAGGUUUUGUAGAUUGAAGUGCAAGCUUUUGUCAACUUUGUUAUAUGACCUAGAAUUUUGAACAAGAAUUAUUCCUACUAUAAAUUCUUUUCUCUUGUUUCUACACAGACUGGCAAAUUUUAUCUAUAGUUUGACCUAUCAAUAAAUAAAAGAAAAAUUGUAUAUGUAGUUUUACCUUUUCUGAUAAUUUGUAUAUGGUUUCUUGCUUUGUAAAUCACUUAAUUACUCCUUUUGGGCAGCAUAAUAUGAUCAUGUGAUUGUCAUGAGUACUGCUUGUGAGUUUUCUUAACCAUAGUUCUUAUGAUAUUUAUUUAUAACAUAUAUCACUUGAAGUUGCACUGGUCUGGACAUCAGAUAUGCUAACUAUGGUAUAUUUGUUUGUUCAUUGCUUAAGUUGCACAGUUCAGCGCUUUUGUCAUGUCCCAGAUGUGUAGCUGGUAUUGAUAAAGAGCUUGUCAUUUUCAUUCAAACAAGGCGGACUGUUACUAAUUAUGGUUUUGUUUGCUAGUACAUUUGAACACAGGACAACCCUGCAUUUGGUGCUUCUAUAUCUGCUGUGUUUCUACUUGUCAUCAUUUGAGUUGUUAUUUAUGUGACAAAAAGUUGUUCCUAUUCUUGAUGUUGAUCUCCGAAAGAAGUUAUAUGUAUAUUUUGUGAACUGGAAGUUAGGUUCAGUGUUUCGGAUCCCAACAAGAAUGGAAGAUGGUGCAACAUAGAUCAUGGACGUUACUUCAAAUGGAAAAAACCUUAGCCUGCCUCACUUGCUUUUUUCACUACAUAAAUAAGGAUAUAAGUGAAGUCCGAUAUGUAUGGAUGAUGGAUGACACACCCAGAAUUGCUAGGUAUAAACUUAGAGAUUAAUUAUAAUAUGUUUCUUUCCAUUCCUCAUGAGCCACUUAUUUCUCCGAAACAAGAGAUUAAAGUCAUCUUUCUCCUUUUCCCUAAGAAGUCGACGGUGUUAAUUUAUUCAAGUUGUUGAGACCAUAAAAAAGGGAAGAAACAAAUGAAGGUCUCUUGUUAAUUCAAAUGAUUUUAGGUUAAUUUGAUUUGGUUUGUCU
rnacentral:lncRNA from 1 species